UGUAUGUAUGCAUGUAAGCGUGUGUGCGCGCGCGCGGGUGCGGUAGAUCUGUGUGUGCGUUCGGUGUGUGGCCGGGUGUGGGGGGUGUGUGCGCGGAGCACGUUUUAGCUGGAGUGCUUGGUGUGGUGUGUAUUUGGUUUGCGCUUUGACAUGCAGCAUGUGUUUGUGUGUGCACGCUUAUAGGUUGUAUGUUUCUGCCCGAUUAUAGUGGGAUUAUGUGGGUGCGGUUUGAAGGCGGGUGUGUGCUGUUCCUGCCGGGGUUUGUGGUCGUGCUGUGGUGAGUGUAUAUGUGUGUGCAAUGUGUGGAUGUGCGUGUACCCGUUGAAGCUUGUGUGCAUAUGUGUGGAGUGUGUUUAUGCUUAGAUGCAGUGUGUCAAUGUGGGUUUACAGGUGGUGUCUGUUGAACUGUGUAGUGUGUGAAUGUGUGCGUGUGCAAGAUUUCUCUAUAAGUCAAUCUACUUGAGAUGUGUGUUCAAAGGUUUAUGCAUGUGAGGGUGCGGUGUGUGUCUUUUGGUGUGAUGUUCUCAUGUGUGUGGUGUGGACGCAUGUGGUCAGCUUACGUGCUUGGAUGAAGGGGUUGUGUGUGUCUUGAAGGGGGAUUGCUGCGUAAGUGUAUGGGUGCGGUGUGUGAGAGUACAGGGUUGUCUAAAAGAACCCAAGUGACCGUGUGUGUGGUUGGGGGCGGGGACGAGUGGGACGUUGGGCUGGGACUGAGAGAAGAAAGGAAGUAGGGGCCGCGACCCCGGCAGGGGUUCCCGCUGGUCUGAUCUGCACCGUGGGGGUUCGCCUGCCCGCCCACCUCUGUGUCGGCAAGGCCCGCUGGGGCAGGGUGUGAAUUUACCUGGCUGCUUAAAGGAAAGAAGAGGAGGGCACCGCACGUGAUUUGCCAGCCCUGUUCCUUCCUUUUGGACUAACAGCUGAGUGACCCAACUGGAUUUCCUUGGCUUGAACCUGAGCAAGCCCUCUCUCUCUAAAGAUUUGAAUGCCUACUCCCUUCACUGAGUGGUUUCUUCUGUUCCUGGCCAACUCAGGCACAUCAGAAUCCAUCGCUGGCAAGAGGAACACUAAUAAAAAAAUCCACCACAUAGGUCUGCUACCAGAUCAUGGAUGGCCUGCCUGGGGUUAAGUGGCGAUCCCUGGGCCACUCUUCUGCAUAAAACCUCCAUCCAGCCCUUUUUCCUGGCUAUGAGUGAGAGCACUUGAGAGACUGGAGCAUUGGGGAUCAGAUUUUGGUGUGCAUCUGCAUCAUCUGGGAUACUUUUCAAAUGCAGACCCCCAGGCCUCGACUAAAGUGCUUCUGAUAUGGAUAAUUUAUAGAUCGCACAUUGAGAAAUACUGCUGUGUGCUAUGGGAUUAAUAUUUGAUGUAUAAAAUGAAUAUGAGUAGCUACAUAACCACAGUUUUAUUGAUCAAAGACAUGAGUAGCUGGGAGAGAGAAACACUCUUUUCCCUUCCCUCCUCAGGUCACCUAAUCAUCAGAACCUUAUUCACUCCAAUGCCAGAAACCCACAUCAAGGAUGCAUUAAUCUGGCAUCCCCAGUGAGCUAAGUUCCCAGGAGACUAAGCCACCAGUAACCAUCACACCUCACCACCUCCCUCAACGAAGAACUUGCCACUACUGAAAGUAUAAGAUAAUAAUAGAUUAAAAUCCAUUAAUCAGUAAGUUAAUAUUCCAUGCAUAUUCUAACUCUUACUAUUGGAACCUCUUUUUUUCAGUUUCGCUCAUCUACAGAUACAUUAAGAAUAGUCAGUUUCUUU